rnacentral:rRNA from 1 species
UGGGGAAUCUUGGACAAUGGGCGCAAGCCUGAUCCAGCCAUGCCGCGUGAGUGAAGAAGGCCCUUCGGGUUGUAAAGCUCUUUUACCAGGGACGAUAAUGACGGUACCUGGAGAAUAAGCCCCGGCAAACUUCGUGCCAGCAGCCGCGGUAAUACGAAGGGGGCUAGCGUUGUUCGGAAUUACUGGGCGUAAAGCGCACGUAGGCGGAUUGUUAAGUCAGAGGUGAAAUCCCGGAGCUCAACUUCGGAACUGCCUUUGAUACUGGCAAUCUAGAGUCCGGAAGAGGUUAGUGGAAUUCCCAGUGUAGAGGUGAAAUUCGUAGAUAUUGGGAAGAACACCAGUGGCGAAGGCGGCUAACUGGUCCGGUACUGACGCUGAGGUGCGAAAGCGUGGGGAGCAAACAGGAUUAGAUACCCCCGUAGUCCCUGAGCGGGC